rnacentral:misc_RNA from 1 species
AACGCACCUUGCGCUCCUUGGUAUUCCUUGGAGCAUGCCUGUUUGAGUAUCAUGAAAUUCUCAAAGUAAAUCUUUUGUUAAUUCAACUGGUUUGCUUUGGAUUUGGAGGUUUUGCAGAUUUCACAGUCUGCUCCUCUUAAAUAAAUUAGCUGGAUCUCAGUAUAUGCUUGGUUCCACUCGGCGUGAUAAGUAUCACUCGCUGAGGACACUGUAAAAGGUGGCCAGGAAAUGCAGAUGAACCGCUUCUAAUAGUCCAUUAAAUUGGACAAAUUAAAUUUAUGAUCUGAUCUCAAAUCAGGUAGGACUACCCGCUGAACUUAA